rnacentral:lncRNA from 1 species
CGCAUCAAGAGGAGCACUAAUCCAAAAAUUACUGUCAGCAGGAAGAUGAAGACCUCCAUCAUGCACGGCUAAAUUUCUUUUUCUCGAAACAAAGACACAUAUUGUAAUAGAUUUAUUUUAAUGUUUAAUUUUUUGUAUUCUUUUUAUUUACAAAAAUAAAUGAUUUACCUUUGAACGUGCAAACUUGCUUCUUUAUAUUUUAAAGUUAGAUUUGGUUAAUUAAAAUAUUUUAUACUCCUUAAAGACACACCGUGAUCCAA